CCUACCCAUGAGCAGGAUGAAGCGAAAGUAAAAUUUCGUGGAGGUCCGAACCCACGAGCGUUGAAAAGCUCGGGGAUGACGUGUGGGUAGCGGUGAAAUUCCAAUCGAGCCCGGAGAUAGCUGGUUCGCCCCGAAAUAGCUUUAGGGCUAGCCUCAAGGUGAGAGAUACGGAGGUAGAGCACUGAAUGUCCUAGGGGGUAUUGCACCU
rnacentral:rRNA from 1 species